AUGAACGACACGUACGCUGUGGUCAACAAGCCCAAAAAGCCCCUCCCACCUCCAGCUGACCCUGCCUACUCCACCGUGGCCCCGCCCAAAUUCAGCAGGACGCUGCCGUUGUCCCAUCACUAUGACAACGACCCCGCCGGAGCGUCGGUGGCUCCUGUGUACAGCGUUGUCAGACCUCGAGUUAAACCCCCCUUAGCCGUGCCUCUCUGUGACGACGAGUGUCACCUGAGUCCAGGUAGGAGGCGGAGAGAAGGAUGGAUGUUGGGCCGAGGUGAGAGACGAAUAAUACUGUUCUCUUUCUUCUCAACUAAAGGUUCAUCACGAACCGACAACGACUAUGAGGACCUCUCCCCUACGGCCGCCGACGUCAUCGGAUUACCUGGUGGCAUGGGUGAGUACACCUGUCUCCUAAAGGGACACGCCGCCCUUUUGGACUCAACAUUAACCGUUGAAAAUUAAACUACAGUCCAUCCGGACAGUGUUCACCGCGCUUUACGUUUUCCACAUUUUGUUAUGUUACAGCCUUAUUCCAAAAUGGAUUAAAUUCAUUAUUUUCCUCAACAUUCUACACACAACAACCCAUAAUGACAAAGUGAAAACAGUUUUUUGCAAAUUUUUGCAAAUCUGUUAAAAAUAAAGAACAAAAACAUAACAUGUACAUAAGUAUUCACAGCCUUUGCUAUGACACUCAACAUUUAGCUCAGGUUCAUCCUGUUUCCACUGAUCAUCCUUCAGAUGUUUCUACAACUUGAUUGGAGUCCAUCUGUGCUAAAUUCAGUUGAUUGGACAUGAUUGAGAAAGGCACACACCUGUCUGUAUAAGGUAUCACAGCUGACAUAUCAGAGCAUAAACCAAGCCAUGAAGUCCAAGGAAUUAUCUGUAGACCUCCGAGACAGAACUGUAUCGAGGCACAGAUCUGGCGAAGGGUACAGAAAGAUUUCUGCAGCAUUGAAAGUCCCAAUGAGCACAGUGGCCUCCAUCAAAUGGAAAAGGAGGAAGUUUGCAACCACCAGGACUCUUGCUAGAGUCGGCCGCCCAGCCAGACUGAGCGAUCAGGGGAGAAGGGCCUUAGUCAGGGAGGUGACCAGGAACCCGAUGGUCACUCUGACAGAGCUCCGGCGUUGUUCUAUGAAGAGAGGAGAACCUUCCAGAAGGACAACCAUCUCUGCAGCACUCCACACAUCAGGCCCGUUUGGUAGAGAGGCCAGACGGAAGCCACUCCUCAGUAAAAAGCACAUGACAGCCCGCCUGGAGGACUCUCAGACCAUGAGAAACAAGUCUCUGGUCUGAUGAAACAAAGAUUGAACUCUUUGGCCUGAAUGCCAAGCGUCAUGUCUGGAGGGAACCAGGCACUGCUCAUCACCUGGUCAAUACCAUCCCUACAGUGAAGCAUGGUGGUGGCAGCAUCAUGCUGUGGGGAUGUUUUUCAGCGGGAGGAACUGGGAGACUAGUCAGGAUUGAGGGAAAGAUGAAUGCAGCAAUGUACAGAGACAUCCUCGAUGAAAACAUGCUCCAAAGCGCUCUGGACCUCAGACUGGGGCGACGGUUCAUCUUCCAACAGGACAACGACCCGAAGCACACAGCCAAGAUAACAAAAGAGUGGCUUCGGGACUCUGUGAAUGUCCUUGAGUGGCCCAGCCAGAGCCCUGACUUGAACCCCAUUGAACAUCUCUGGAGAGAUCUGGAAAUGGCUGCAUCGACGCUCCCCAUCCAACCUGAUGGAACUUGAGAGGUUCUGCAAAGAAGAAUGGGAGAACCUGCACAGAAAUAGGUGUGCCACCCUUGUGGAAUCACACCCAAGAAGACUUGAGGCUGUAAUCGCUGCCAAAGGUGCUUCAACAAAGUAUUGAGCAAAGGCUGUGAAUACUUAUGUACAUGUGAUGUUAUCGUUCUUUAUUUUUAACAGAUUUGCAAAAAUUUGCAAAAAACAGUUUUCACGUUGUCAUUAUGGGUUGUUGUGUGUAGAAUAUUGAGGAAAAUAAUGAAUUUAAUCCAUUUUGGAAUAAGGCUGUAACAUAACAAAAUGUGGAAGAAGUGAAGCGCUGUGAAUACUGUCCGGAUGGACUGUAUAUCAUCUGAACCGCGAGACGAGAGCUAGCUAACUUUAGCUGUCAGCUACCAGCUGCUAGCUAGUAAGUCAUACUAUAUGGUGAAUAAGAGCAAAGCUAUUUGUAACCACUGCAAACCAGAAGUAUCUCAUCACCAGAGCACUGAGAGCCUGACGGUUUUUGAGAAAAUAUCAGUUUCAUAGUUUUGAGAAGUGUACCAGCCUACUUAUAUGUUGAAAGUAGCUAUUUUUCAAUAUCAAUAUAUUGGAGAAGGGUUUACCCUCAAAAGGUCAGUUUGGGUCCAGAUGAUGCAAUAUCCUGUUAACUGCUCUGCACUUAUAAAACAAAUAAAAGUCUUAUAUUCACGGCCGGCCUAACAUCUGAGAAGAUGCAAAUAUGCGGAAAGGUUUUUAAAACAUCUGCUAUGUAAAAAUAUGUUUAUUUCUAAUUUAUUAAUAAUUAAAUUCCUUUCUUAAUGUGUGUGUGUGUGUGUGUGUGUGU
ensembl:lncRNA